UCUUCCCAACCCAGGGAUCAAACCCAGAUCUCCCACAUUGUGGGUGGAUUCUUUACCGUCUAAGCCACCAGAGAAGCCCAUUAACAAAUUUAGGAAAAGACAAAAAAGCAGGGUCAGAAAAUGUCAUGGUGAAAAGCUGGUGGGGUUCAAGGUCAAAGACUGGGCUUACUGCUGAGCCGCCAGGCCCUUCUGCCCCACCCCCUUUCUCCCACAGCUGAGGCUUGUGAACAAAUCCGAACAAAUCCAAGGCAGUAGGCUCCCAGGUGAAACCAAGCAACUCUGACUGGGACUUGAAUGCACUUGUCUUUUAGUCAAAAUUGCUCCUCUCGAGUCAGGACUUACUGAAGCUCAGGUUUUCUGUUCGCAGAAAGAGUUCAGUGAGAGACAAAGUGAUAGGAAGAAGUGGAUUUAUUAAAAGAGAUAUAUAGUCCACAGACAGAGCGUGCUCCGUCUCAAGGCACCAGGGUCUGGGAUCAUCUUGGAAAGUGAGAGCGGCCCUGGGAGAAACAGACUGCAAAGACAGAACCCAGACCGUCUCAAAAGGCAGAGAAAGAUGCUACCAAAGCCCCACCCUCGUUGCCCUAUUUCACAGGCCAUGGCCCCCACAGAUAAGCUGCUUGAGAUGCAACAGCGCCAUCAGCAGGUGGGCUAAAUCGGCUGAACCCUCAUCACAGAGUGCUGCUGCUGCUGCUGUUGCUGCACCAGGAUGCACAACACAGGGCUACUAUAAA